rnacentral:lncRNA from 1 species
CAUUAUUCUUCAGCCCUGUGGAGCUUCCAUUUCAGAAGGUAGGUGCACUAGUGAAAUUUAGGAUUUCUGGUGUUUUGUAAAAUUACAGCAGCUGUUUUAAAGUAUGUUUGAUUUUAUCAGGCUGGAAAGAUGGCUGGCUGCUCUUCAGAGGUCCUGCGUUCAAUUCCCAGCAACCAUUUGGAAGUGCACAACCAUCUAUUAAUGGGAUCUGAUGCACUAUUCUGGCAUAUGCAGGCUGAUGCAGAGGCCAUGGAAGGGUGCUGCUUACUGGCUUUCUCACCCUGGCUUGCUCAUCCUGCUUUCUUAUAGAACCCAGGGGCAUUAGCCUAGGGAUAGCACCACGUACAAUGGGCUGGAUGCUUCCCAAUUCCCUAUUCCCUAACUGAGAAAAUAUGUUACAGCUGGAUCUCAUAGAGAUAUUUCCCCAAUUAAGACUCCUUCCUCUCUAAUGACUCUAGCUUGUGUCAAGUUGACACAAAACUGGGCAGCCAAUGCAGUGGCUAAAGUUUAGCAUAGAAUAGGUUGAGAAUGAACCUAUUGGAGUGGAAGUGUUCUAUUCUGGGGUCUAGGGUCUCCAUGCUACUUCUUCAAACUACAUCUCCUCCCCCUGUCCACCCUUCUCAUAUGGCCUGUCCUGAUAAGGGAGCAAUGGAAGUUAUUUCUUAUGGUUACAGAUGGGAAACAAGACCUCAUGAGUUUAAGGGAGUUUCUGUCUUGAUGAGCAUAAACUAUCAAAUCCUUUUGAUGAACGACAGGUUCACACAUGCACACACACACACACACACACACACACACACACACACACACAAUGGUGUGUGUGUGUGGAGAACCUAGUCAUUUCUCCCAUCCCCAUUUGCUUCAUGUAUGGGAAUUGACACAGGUGAUGUAGUUGUACAGCUUCUCUCGUUGUUUGAAUCCAGAGUUUUGUGUUUUAGUCUUAGAGAACCUGUCCAUGGCCUCUGCAUCAGCUCCUGCCCGCAUUGGUUCCUGUCCUGUUUGAAUUCUUGUUCUAACUUUCUUCGGUGAUGAACAGCCAUGUGGAUGUGUAAGCUAAAUAAACCCUUUAAU